rnacentral:rRNA from 1 species
UACAGAGGUCUCAAGCGUUGUUCGGAAUUACUGGGCGUAAAGGGCUCGUAGGCGGCCAACUAAGUCAGACGUGAAAUCCCUCGGCUUAACCGGGGAACUGCGUCUGAUACUGGAUGGCUAGAGUUUGGGAGAGGGAUGCGGAAUUCCAGGUGUAGCGGUGAAAUGCGUAGAUAUCUGGAGGAACACCGGUGGCGAAGGCGGCAUCCUGGACCAACACUGACGCUGAUGAGCGAAAGCCAGGGGAGCAAACGGG